rnacentral:rRNA from 1 species
ACGAACGCUGGCGGCAUGCCUAAUACAUGCAAGUCGAACGAGACCUUCGGGUCUAGUGGCGCACGGGUGCGUAACGCGUGGGAAUCUGCCCUUCGGUUCGGAAUAACAGUUAGAAAUGACUGCUAAUACCGGAUGAUGACGUAAGUCCAAAGAUUUAUCGCCGAAGGAUGAGCCCGCGUAAGAUUAGCUUGUUGGUGAGGUAAAAGCUCACCAAGGCGACGAUCUUUAGCUGGUCUGAGAGGAUGAUCAGCCACACUGGGACUGAGACACGGCCCAGACUCCUACGGGAGGCAGCAGUAGGGAAUAUUGGACAAUGGGGGAAACCCUGAUCCAGCAAUGCCGCGUGAGUGAUGAAGGCCUUAGGGUUGUAAAGCUCUUUUACCCGAGAUGAUAAUGACAGUAUCGGGAGAAUAAGCUCCGGCUAACUCCGU